rnacentral:rRNA from 1 species
UCCGUAGGUGAACCUGCGGAAGGAUCAUUAAAGAAAUUUAAUAAUUUUGAGAAUGGAUUUUUUUGUUUUGGCAAGAGCAUGAGAGCUUUUACUGGGCAAGAAGACAAGAGAUGGAGAGUCCAGCCGGGCCUGCGCUUAAGUGCGCGGUCUUGCUAGGCUUGUAAGUUUCUUUCUUGCUAUUCCAAACGGUGAGAGAUUUCUGUGCUUUUGUUAUAGGACAAUUAAAACCGUUUCAAUACAACACACUGUGGAGUUUUCAUAUCUUUGCAACUUUUUCUUUGGGCAUUCGAGCAAUCGGGGCCCAGAGGUAACAAACACAAACAAUUUUAUUUAUUCAUUAAAUUUUUGUCAAAAACAAGAAUUUUCGUAACUGGAAAUUUUAAAAUAUUAAAAACUUUCAACAACGGAUCUCUUGGUUCUCGCAUCGAUGAAGAACGCAGCGAAAUGCGAUACGUAAUGUGAAUUGCAGAAUUCCGUGAAUCAUCGAAUCUUUGAACGCACAUUGCGCCCCUUGGUAUUCCAGGGGGCAUGCCUGUUUGAGCGUCAUUUCCUUCUCAAACAUUCUGUUUGGUAGUGAGUGAUACUCUUUGGAGUUAACUUGAAAUUGCUGGCCUUUUCAUUGGAUGUUUUUUUUCCAAAGAGAGGUUUCUCUGCGUGCUUGAGGUAUAAUGCAAGUACGGUCGUUUUAGGUUUUACCA